UACGGGGGGGGCAAGCGUUGUUCGGAAUUACUGGGCGUAAAGGGCUCGUAGGCGGCCAACUAAGUCAAACGUGAAAUCCCUCGGCUUAACCGGGGAACUGCGUCUGAUACUGGAUGGCUUGAGUUUGGGAGAGGGAUGCGGAAUUCCAGGUGUAGCGGUGAAAUGCGUAGAUAUCUGGAGGAGCACCGGUGGCGAAGGCGGCAUCCUGGACCAACACUGACGCUGAGGAGCGAAAGCCAGGGGAGCAAACGGG
rnacentral:rRNA from 1 species